UACGUAGGUGGCAAGCGUUGUCCGGAAUUAUUGGGCGUAAAGCGCGCGCAGGCGGUCCUUUAAGUCUGAUGUGAAAGCCCACGGCUCAACCGUGGAGGGUCAUUGGAAACUGGGGGGACUUGAGUGCAGAAGAGGAAAGUGGAAUUCCACGUGUAGCGGUGAAAUGCGUAGAGAUGUGGAGGAACACCAGUGGCGAAGGCGACUUUCUGGUCUGUAACUGACGCUGAGACACGAAAGCGUGGGUAGCAAACAGG
rnacentral:rRNA from 1 species